rnacentral:rRNA from 1 species
UGCGGAAGGAUCAUUAAUGAAUUUUACGCCCUAGUCUUAACUGAUAGGGGCUGGUUCUAUCCAUAACACCUGUGCACUGUUGGAUGCUUGCAUCCACUUUUAAACUAAACAUUAUUGUAACAAAUGUAGUCUUAUUAUAACAUAAUAAAACUUUCAACAACGGAUCUCUUGGCUCUCGCAUCGAUGAAGAACGCAGCGAAAUGCGAUAAGUAAUGUGAAUUGCAGAAUUCAGUGAAUCAUCGAAUCUUUGAACGCACCUUGCGCUCCUUGGUAUUCCGAGGAGCAUGCCUGUUUGAGUGUCAUGAAACCCUCAAACCCAAGUUUUGGAUUUCGGUCCAUGCUUGAGUUUGGAUUUGGAUGUUUGCCGGUGAUGAACCGACUCAUCUUAAAAGUAUUAGCUGGAUCUGUCUAUAUGACUGGUUUGACUUGGCAUAAUAAGUAUUUUGCUGGGGACAUCUUCGGAUGGCCAGGACCUAGACUAUUGUCUGCUAACUAAACCAUCACUUUAAGUGCAUCCUUGGAUGUUACUCAUUGUGUAACUUUGACAUCUGGCCUCAAAUCAGGUAGGACUACCCGCUGAACUUAAGCAUAUCAAU